UAAAUGGAUUAUUGUUGUCCAGGGCUGUCCGUCAUACCGGGAGAUGGCUACCCGAGGGGUCCCAAGACUGCUUCAAUCGGCCGAAAUGCGUAAGACCGACGGCAAGGUACAUCUUUGAGAGUCUUGUCGCACAGGGACGUGCCAAUCCGGAGAAUGGGGUGAAACUCCUCUGAGAUCCGGUGUUGCUUCAUUUGACGGGAAGCCCAAACAAGUUGAAACACACUGGCAGUUGUCGAGUCAGUGGUAUAUUAUACUUGA
ncrna:unclassified sequences Hairpin-meta2 ribozyme sequence